AUACGGAGGGUGCAAGCGUUAAUCGGAAUUACUUGGCGUAAAGCGUACGUAGGCGGUUCGUUAAGUUAGAUGUGAAAGCCCCGGGCUUAACCUGGGAACUGCAUUUAAAACUGGCGAACUAGAGUUGAGUAGAGGGGAGUGGAAUUUCAGGUGUAGCGGUGAAAUGCGUAGAGAUCUGAAGGAACACCAGUGGCGAAGGCGACUCCCUGGACUCGAACUGACGCUGAGGUACGAAAGCGUGGGUAGCAAACGGGAUUAGAUACCCCAGUAGUCC
rnacentral:rRNA from 1 species